CAAAUACUCCCUCUGUCCGGAAAUACUUGCCAUCAAAAUGGAUAAAAGGAAAUGUAUCUAGACGUAUUUUAGUUUUAGAUACAUCUCUUUUUAUCCAUUUUGAUGACAAGUAUUUUCGGACGGAGGGAGUAGAAA
rnacentral:pre_miRNA from 1 species